rnacentral:rRNA from 1 species
GUGGGGAAUCUUAGACAAUGGGCGCAAGCCUGAUCUAGCCAUGCCGCGUGAGCGAUGAAGGCCUUAGGGUUGUAAAGCUCUUUCGUGGGGGAAGAUAAUGACUGUACCCCAAGAAGAAGCCCCGGCUAACUCCGUGCCAGCAGCCGCGGUAAUACGGAGGGGGCUAGCGUUGUUCGGAAUUACUGGGCGUAAAGUGCACGUAGGCGGACUGGAAAGUCAGGGGUGAAAUCCCGGGGCUCAACCCCGGAACUGCCUUUGAAACUCCCAGUCUUGAGUUCGAGAGAGGUGAGUGGAAUUCCGAGUGUAGAGGUGAAAUUCGUAGAUAUUCGGAGGAACACCAGUGGCGAAGGCGGCUCACUGGCUCGAUUCUGACGCUGAGGUGCGAAAGCGUGGGGAGCAAACAGGAUUAGAAACCCCAGUAGUCC